rnacentral:tRNA from 1 species
GCGGGAUUGGCUUAGUGACUGAGCGCCGGCCUUCCAAGCCGGAGAGACGAGUUUGAUUCUCGUAUCCCGCUCCA